rnacentral:lncRNA from 1 species
UAAUAGCUCGGAUAUUUAUUCUUUUUCUUUUCACAGUUUAAAGAUAUAUGUAAAGGAAAAAUCGAAUUUUAUUUCUUGAUUAAGAGAAUAAAAGGUGUUUUUGGAGCAAUAGGAACUUAAUGCCACGUAGAUGUGACGCGUAUUAUGCCUUUUGAUUCGUUAAGGUUUCUUUUAAAGCAUCUCCAAAAAAAACAUUUUAUAACUUCAAAUACGAAGUUUUUUGCUUUUCAAAAAGGAAUUUCAAAACUUUGAAGUUUUGAGAAGUGAAACUCUAUAUUUGAAAUUUCAUAUUUUUAU